AACGAACGCUGGCGGCAUGCCUAACACAUGCAAGUCGAACGAGACCUUCGGGUCUAGUGGCCCACGGGUGCGUAACGCGUGGGAACCUGCCUUUAGGUUCGGAAUAACUCAGAGAAAUUUGAGCUAAUACCGGAUGAUGUCUUCGGACCAAAGAUUUAUCGCCUUUAGGUGGGCCCGCGUUGGAUUAGCUCGUUGGUGGGGUAAAGGCAUACCAAGGCGACGAUCCAUAGCUGGUCUGAGAGGAUGAUCAGCCACACUGGGACUGAGACACGGCCCAGACUCCUACGGGAGGCAGCAGUAGGUAAUAUUAGACAAGGGGCGAAAGCCUGAUCCAGCAAUGCCGCGGGAGUGAUGAAGGCCUUAGGGUUGUAAAGCUCUUUUACCCGAGAUGAUAAUGACAGUAUCGGGAGAAUAAGCUCCGGCUAACUCCGUG
rnacentral:rRNA from 1 species